UAGGGUUAUUUACGUUACCUUCAUAUAUCCUCGAUGAUAGGGUUCGAGAGUCUCUACCGGGCUGCCGUAAAUGGCCUGACUAUGAAGGCAGAAAGUUAUUCA
rnacentral:ncRNA from 2 species